rnacentral:rRNA from 1 species
CAGCAGCCACGGUAAUACAGAGGGUGCGAGCGUUAAUCGGAUUUACUGGGCGUAAAGCGUGCGUAGGCGGCUUUUUAAGUCGGAUGUGAAAUCCCCGGGCUUAACCUGGGAACUGCAUUUGAAACUGUCAGGCUGGAGUCUUGUAGAGGGGGGUAGAAUUCCAGGUGUAGCGGUGAAAUGCGUAGAGAUCUGGAGGAAUACCGGUGGCGAAGGCGGCCCCCUGGACAAAGACUGACGCUCAGGUGCGAAAGCGUGGGGAGCAAACAGGAUUAGAUACCCGCGUAGUCCCUGUCUCUUAUAC